rnacentral:lncRNA from 1 species
UGUGUCGCCAAAAAAAUACUGGUAGAUGAGUUCCCUGUUAUAGUCAUCGCCUUCCAAGUUCGGACGAAUGUCCACUGAGAUGGCGACAGGAGGGACGAUUUUUCCGAGGACAACGCCCACUGGCACACAUAACGUGGGAGGACAAACCACAUAGCAGUUGUGUGCAGCUGCCCGUCGUCUGCAGUCAUCUCUCUGUCUGUGGGGCUUCUUGGUUUCCUAUUGGCAGAGACACUUCUAAUGUACUGUGACGGCAGGAAAUUGACUGGCACGAAGCGAUUGCAGUCCGCGAGUGCAUCGCGACGCCGCGAAACUCAUCGGGUGAACUUCUUCUGCGGUGAUUCUCUGAUAGAAGCAGAAUGUAGCGAUUUGCAUUGCCCCUAUUGUCGGUUCUUCGACUGUCCCAGUACCAGCAUCACAUUUGAAGAGAGAUCGAGAGCGCAAGAAUGGCUGUGUCGCGCAGGGCUGCGCGGUACCGCCGGCGUUCAGUCUUGUGCUUGCUUCGAUUUGAAACUACACGGGGCAUGAGUGAAGAGAAUGGCCCUGCGCCAGUACACACUAUUGGGGCACCUCCCGGCAAUGCUUUAGGGGGACUAGGCUGUCCAGGCCUUUCGGCUUUGACAGCACGGGUCUCUAUCCAUGCGCUUGCAUUCCUCAAUCCAUGACAGUUCACUUGAAAGCGCCCCAAAACGCCACAUCGUUGUUAUUUGUCACGCAUAACGCAAGGUAAAAGCGCCAAGGGGGAAGGACUUCGAGAGAAAAGAAGCGAGUAGGUUUUUCUGAUGCAGCGCAUUCAAGGGAGUAAAUGUUUUGUCUCAUGUGGUGGGCACCUGGCCAUAUGCCUGCCGUUGCAGUGUGCAUACAUCAGGGCGCAGCCGACUGUUCUUACACUUCUGUGGAUCACUCCAACUGCAAAGCUUCCUUGUUUAUGAUCUGUAUCUCUGUUUUGUGCUACUCCCUCGUUUUGAUACCGCGAGGUUGCUUUAUUGUUUUGCUGAUUUCCAAAGAUGUACUUCGGCGGCCCUGAUGAUAUACCCAUUGAGGGGAUGGAGUUUGAGAAAUCAAAGCCUAGGAUUCUGGUGGUCGCCAUGUUCUGCGUUGCCGCGAUCGUGGCUCACUUCUUCGCUCAAGAUGUGAGCGAUCUAAAUUUUAUCCGUCCAAACAAAUUUCAUGGCCAUAUGCAGAUGGGAGGAUGUGUGACAAUGGCCAUCUUCGGUGAGUGAAGUAGACGCACACACCCAGAAGGCCGUUGCUGAGGCUGAGACCAUUAGGCUCUCUUUUGUAUUACUUCUACAAAUCCCCAACCCACUUAAGCAUCAC